AACGCACCUUGCGCCCCUUGGCUAUUCCGAGGGGCAUGCCUGUUUGAGUAUCAUGAACACCUCAACUCUCAUGGUUCGCCGUGAUGAGCUUGGACUCUGGGGGUUUUGCUGGCCUGUGGUCGGCUCCCCCCAAAUGAAUCAGCCUCCCAGUGUUUGGCGGCAUCACGGGUGUGAUAAAUAUCUACGCUCGCUGUUGUCUGCCAGGUAACCUUUGGUCACAAAGGUUUGCUGGAGCUCACAGAUGUCUCUCCUCAGCGAGGACAGCUUUUUUAACGUUCGAUCUCAAAUCAGGUAGGACUACCCGCUGAACUUAA
rnacentral:misc_RNA from 2 species